ensembl:lncRNA
AUACUGUAAACUUUCAAAAGUUCAUAUAUUGUGCAUAGUUUGAAGUGACUUUUUUUUUUCUUCAAUUGUGUUUGGGUUCAGGCUCUGUUUAGGAUCGGUAUCGGAAAAACCCAAACGAUACUCAUCCCUACUCUCAUGUCUGCGCGCUCAACGUGAAGCUAAAGCCAGCCGCUGGUUAGCUUAGCAUGAAGACUGGAGACAAGAGGGCUCGAAAGGGAUGUUUAUAAAUCCAGAUUCAACAGUUUACAAAUUUCUGACUUGAUGAAACAAUGGACAAAAAUCGUUCUUUAUGUUUUCUUAAAGUGUUUGCUUUCAAGAUCAAGAUGGGGUCAUAGAAAAAAACAAGUAGAGCAAAGUGUUUUAUGCACCAUGUUAAGUGGAUGAGCUCCAUCAAUACAAAUACACCGUCCACACACACACAUUUACUCUAAAGGCUCAUUUGCAUAUUGUAGAUACCUUCACUGUAACCAUAGAGACGUUACAUCAUGAUGGAACAUUUCUCAAUGUUCCAUGUUCUAUGCUCCGUUCACCACAGCAUAAGAAACACAGUCUGUUGCACAUCCAGUCAGUCAGUUUCAAACCUCGCAUCUACACACUGAAGUUUUCCGGACCUACACUUGCAGAAAGCAACCAUGUAAUGCCUCAGGAGUCUGUAGAGGGGACGAAGACGCGUUCUGCUGCACUUAACAGAGCUCAAGACCAACAGGACGCAAUCAGGACGCCACGUCAUCGGGACGCUACGUCAACGGGACGCCAUCAGGAUGCCAUCAGGACGCCAUCAGGACGCCCUCAGGACGCCAUCAGGACGCCACGUCAACGGGACGCCAUCAGGACGUCACGUCUACCCCUCAGGAGCAAAUCCAGAUCUACGCAUGACACACACACACCUACACAGAUAUGUACACACAGACACACUAACAUUUGGUUCUAAACAAAGACACACACUAAUAUUUAGAUGUACACAAAGACAUAUUAAUAUUUAGAUGUACACACAGACACAUUAAUAUUUUGAUGUACACACAGACACACUAACAAUUAGUUGUACACACAGACACACUAACAAUUCGAUAUUCACACAGACACACUAACAAUUAGAUGUACACACAUACACACUAACAUUUGUUUCUAAACAAAGACACUUACUAACAUUUAGAUGUACACAAAUACACAUUAAUAUGUAGAUGUAUACACAGACACACUAA